AUUGAACGCUGGCGGCAUGCUUUACACAUGCAAGUCGAACGGUAGGGUAGCAAUACCUGAGAGUGGCGAACGGGUGAGUAAUGUAUCGGAACGUGCCCAAGAGUGGGGGAUAGCCCGGCGAAAGCCGGAUUAAUACCGCAUACGAUCUAUGGAUGAAAACGGGGGACCGCAAGGCCUCGUGCUCCUGGAGCGGCCGAUAUCAGAUUAGGUAGUUGGUGGGGUAAAGGCUCACCAAGCCAACGAUCUGUAGCUGGUUUGAGAGAACGACCAGCCACACUGGGACUGAGACACGGCCCAGACUCCUACGGGAGGCAGCAGUGGGGAAUUUUGGACAAUGGGCGCAAGCCUGAUCCAGCAAUGCCGCGUGCAGGAUGAAGGCCUUCGGGUUGUAAACUGCUUUUGUACGGAGCGAAAAGGCUUCCAUUAAUACUGGGGGCUCAUGACGGUACCGUAAGAAUAAGCACCGGCUAACUACGUGCCAGCAGCCGCGGUAA
rnacentral:rRNA from 1 species